CAAUCAAUCAAGUUAAAUUUAGGCGCUUCACCCCGUAAUAACAAGAUAGUCUGAGUGAGCAUCUUUGUCUGAUUACAGUGUGAGUAAUUUCAAACCCGUCAACAGGACCUUGUAGGGGUGUCAAUCAAACGCCAGCAGACAUUUAACAAGCUAUGUUUAAAAACAGACUUGCACCUCCUUUGGCCUUGUUGAUGGCGACCAGAGUACCAGAGCGAACACACAGAAUCAGACAGGAAUGCAAACAGUGCCAGCAGCUUUCUUACGAAUCUAUUUUUAUCGCUAUCCCUAUACUAUAUCUGCCGAUAAGUUACGGCAAGCACAGAGGGCUCUUCACUUCAAAUCUGGUUUAGUCACCCACACUACUAAACCAGUGAUCCCUUUGGAGAUUCAAACUUCAGUCGACGAUAGUCUACCCGCAUUAUGUAUUGUCUGCUUACUGGUUAGCACCCUAUAUCAUGCGACGGAAUUGUUUUGCUUCGUCGCAAAUUCACCAGGUAUCUACGACAUGAAACAAUAUACGCCGAAUAAGCGCUUUUAACCAGAGUAAUUAAAGUGUAAUUUAAACCAGUUUUAAACUUGUCAAAGUCAAUAAAUGAAUAUAUCAGAAUACACCCACGAAGGGAAUUUAAGCAAAUGAUAGGUACGUAUUGUCUAACCUGUUGUCUUUGGUAUUAUCUCUGCGGUGCAAACGGAGGCAGUCAAUUGAUCUGAGAGUCAGGCGGUCGGAGUCUCUGAUGGAACGAUCUUCUUG